CGUGCACCAGUGGGGUCCCUCAGCCUGGCCUGCAAGAUCGGGCCAAAACUGGCUCUCUCUCCUAUGGGUCCCGUAUUGUGAGAGGGUGCAGGCUAGGCUGAGGGACCCCACUGGUGCACA
rfam:Myotis brandtii contig239680, whole genome shotgun sequence.